GCCACCGUAGCUCAGCUGGUAGAGCGCCUCACUUGUAAUGAGGAUGUCACGGGUUCGACUCCUGUCGGUGGCU
rnacentral:tRNA from 1 species